rnacentral:lncRNA from 1 species
GGAGAGAUUUAAGGAAAGAGACAUUCGAUUUUAGGGGAGAGAAAUUUAAGAAAAACAAAGCAGGAGAGAAAUUUAAGUAAAAGAAAGAGGGAGAGAGGUUUGGCAUUGGGAAAAGGGAGAGAGAAAUAUGGUUGGGAAGAGGGAGAUAGAGAAUGAAGAUAGAGAAAGAGGUACAAUGUUGGGAAGGGAGAAUGGAGUGAGAAAGAGG